AACGAACGCUGGCGGCAGGCUUAACACAUGCAAGUCGAGCGCCCCGCAAGGGGAGCGGCAGACGGGUGAGUAACGCGUGGGAAUCUACCCCUCUCUACGGAAUAACGCAUGGAAACGUGUGCUAAUACCGUAUACGUCCUUCGGGAGCAAGAUUUAUCGGAGGUGGAUGAGCACGCGUUGGAUUAGCUAGUUGGUGGGGUAAAGGCCUACCAAGGCGACGAUCCAUAGCUGGUCUGAGAGGAUAAUCAGCCACACUGGGACUGAGACACGGCCCAGACUCCUACGGGAGGCAGCAGUGGGGAAUAUUGGACAAUGGGCGCAAGCCUGAUCCAGCCAUGCCGCGUGAGUGAUGAAGGCCCUAGGGUUGUAAGGCUCUUUCACCGGUGAAGAUAAUGACGGUAACCGGAGAAGAAGCCCCGGCUAACUUCGUGCCAGCCGCCGCAGUAAGAC
rnacentral:rRNA from 1 species